CCUACGGGCUGCUGCAGUGGGGAAUAUUGGACAAUGGGCGAAAGCCUGAUCCAGCCAUGCCGCGUGUGUGAAGAAGGCCUUCGGGUUGUAAAGCACUUUCAGUGGGGAAGAAAGCCUUGGGGCUAAUACCCUCGAGGAAGGACAUCACCCACAGAAGAAGCACCGGCUAACUCCGUGCCAGCAGCCGCGGUAAUACGGAGGGUGCGAGCGUUAAUCGGAAUUACUGGGCGUAAAGCGCGCGUAGGCGGUCUGAUAAGCCGGUUGUGAAAGCCCCGGGCUCAACCUGGGAACGGCAUCCGGAACUGUCAGGCUAGAGUGCGGGAGAGGGAGGUAGAAUUCCCGGUGUAGCGGUGAAAUGCGUAGAGAUCGGGAGGAAUACCAGUGGCGAAGGCGGCCUUCUGGAAUGACACUGACGCUGAGGUGCGAAAGCGUGGGUAGCAAACAGGAUUAGAUACCCGGGUAGUC
rnacentral:rRNA from 1 species